AGAGUUUGAUCCUGGCUCAGGAUGAACGCUGGCGGCGUGUCUUAGGCAUGCAAGUCGAACGGUCACGUGUAGCAAUAUAUGUGAUAGUGGCAAACGGGUGCGUAACACAUUGGUAACCUACCCCGCAGUUCGGAACAACGAGUCGAAAGAUUCGCUAAUACCGGAUGUGGUUUCCGAAUACUUUUCGGAGCAGAAAGUCGCAAGACGCUGUGGGAGGGGCCUAUGGUCCAUCAGGUAGUUGGUAGGGUAAUGGCCUACCAAGCCUAUGACGGAUAGCGGGAUUGAGAGAUCGACCCGCCUCACUGGGACUGAGACACUGCCCAGACUUCUACGGAAGGCUGCAGUCGAGAAUCUUCCCCAAUGGCCGAAAGGCUGAGGGAGCGACGCCGCGUGCAGGAAGAAUCCCUUCGGGGUGUAAACUGCUUUUCUUUGGGAACAACUCUGAGUGUACCAAAGGAAUAAGGGGCUGCUAACUUCGUGCCAGCAGCAGCGGUAAUACGAAGGCCCCGAGCGUUAUCCGGAUUUAUUGGGCGUAAAGCGUUAAUAGGCGGUUCGGUAAGUAUCUGGUUAAAUCUCAUGGCUCAACCAUGAGGCUGCCGGAUAAACUGCCGGACUUGAGGUCGGAAGAGGCAAGCGGAACUACCGGCGUAGUGGUAAAAUGCGUUAAUAUCGGUAGGAACACCAAAGGCGAAGGCAGCUUGCUGGUACGAACCUGACGCUAAAUAACGAAAGCGUGGGGAGCGAAUGGGAUUAGAUACCCUAGUAGUCC
rnacentral:rRNA from 1 species